GUGCUCCUACGGGGGGCAGCAGUGGGGAAUAUUGGGCAAUGGGCGCAAGCCUGACCCAGCAACGCCGCGUGAAGGAAGAAGGCUUUCGGGUUGUAAACUUCUUUUCUAAGGGACGAAGAAAGUGACGGUACCUUAGGAAUAAGCUCCGGCUAACUACGUGCCAGCAGCCGCGGUAAUACGUAGGGAGCGAGCGUUAUCCGGAUUUACUGGGUGUAAAGGGCGUGUAGGCGGGAUGGCAAGUCAGGCGUGAAAACUAUGGGCUCAACCCAUAGCCUGCGUUUGAAACUGUCGUUCUUGAGUGAUGG
rnacentral:rRNA from 1 species